GUAUAGACCCGAAACCCGGUGAUCUAGCCAUGGGCAGGUUGAAGGUUGGGUAACACUAACUGGAGGACCGAACCGACUAAUGUUGAAAAAUUAGCGGAUGACUUGUGGCUGGGGGUGAAAGGCCAAUCAAACCGGGAGAUAGCUGGUUCUCCCCGAAAGCUAUUUAGGUAGCGCCUCGUGAACUCAUCUUCGGGGGUAGAGCACUGUUUCGGCUAGGGGGUCAUCCCGACUUACCAACCCGAUGCAAACUACGAAUACCGAAGAAUGUUAUCACGGGAGACACACGGCGGGUGCUAACGUCCGUCGUGAAGAGGGAAACAACCCAGACCGCCAGCUAAGGUCCCAAAGUCAUGGUUAAGUGGGAAACGAUGUGGGAAGGCCCAGACAGCCAGGAUGUUGGCUUAGAAGCAGCCAUCAUUUAAAGAAAGCGUAAUAGCUCACUGGUCGAGUCGGCCUGCGCGGAAGAUGUAACGGGGCUAAACCAUGCACCGAAGCUGCGGCAGCGACACUAUGUGUUGUUGGGUAGGGGAGCGUUCUGUAAGCCGUUGAAGGUGGCCUGUGAGGGUUGCUGGAGGUAUCAGAAGUGCGAAUGCUGACAUAAGUAACGAUAAUGCGGGUGAAAAACCCGCACGCCGGAAGACCAAGGGUUCCUGUCCAACGUUAAUCGGGGCAGGGUGAGUCGACCCCUAAGGCGAGGCCGAAAGGCGUAGUCGAUGGGAAACAGGUUAAUAUUCCUGUACUCGGUGUUACUGCGAAGGGGGGACGGAGAAGGCUAUGUUGGCCGGGCGACGGUUGUCCCGGUUUAAGCAUGUAGGCGGAUGUUCCAGGUAAAUCCGGAACGUUAUCAACGCUGAGGUGUGAUGACGAGGCACUACGGUGCUGAAGUGACAAAUGCCCUGCUUCCAGGAAAAGCCUCUAAGCAUCAGGUAACAUCAAAUCGUACCCCAAACCGACACAGGUGGUCAGGUAGAGAAUACCAAGGCGCUUGAGAGAACUCGGGUGAAGGAACUAGGCAAAAUGGUGCCGUAACUUCGGGAGAAGGCACGCUGAUGGUAGGUGAAGCGACUUGCUCGUGGAGCUGAAAUCAGUCGAAGAUACCAGCUGGCUGCAACUGUUUAUUAAAAACACAGCACUGUGCAAACACGAAAGUGGACGUAUACGGUGUGACGCCUGCCCGGUGCCGGAAGGUUAAUUGAUGGGGUUAUCCUCACGGAGAAGCUCUUGAUCGAAGCCCCGGUAAACGGCGGCCGUAACUAUAACGGUCCUAAGGUAGCGAAAUUCCUUGUCGGGUAAGUUCCGACCUGCACGAAUGGCGUAAUGAUGGCCAGGCUGUCUCCACCCGAGACUCAGUGAAAUUGAACUCGCUGUGAAGAUGCAGUGUACCCGCGGCAAGACGGAAAGACCCCGUGAACCUUUACUAUAGCUUGACACUGAACACUGGUCCUUGAUGUGUAGGAUAGGUGGGAGGCUUUGAAGUGUGGACGCCAGUCUGCAUGGAGCCAUCCUUGAAAUACCACCCUUUAAUGGCUGGUGUUCUAACGUGGGCCCGUAAUCCGGGUUGCGGACAGUGUCUGGUGGGUAGUUUGACUGGGGCGGUCUCCUCCUAAAGAGUAACGGAGGAGCACGAAGGUCAGCUAAUCCUGGUCGGACAUCAGGAGGUUAGUGCAAUGGCAUAAGCUGGCUUGACUGCGAGCGUGACGGCGCGAGCAGGUGCGAAAGCAGGUCAUAGUGAUCCGGUGGUUCUGAAUGGAAGGGCCAUCGCUCAACGGAUAAAAGGUACUCCGGGGAUAACAGGCUGAUACCGCCCAAGAGUUCAUAUCGACGGCGGUGUUUGGCACCUCGAUGUCGGCUCAUCACAUCCUGGGGCUGAAGUAGGUCCCAAGGGUAUGGCUGUUCGCCAUUUAAAGUGGUACGCGAGCUGGGUUUAGAACGUCGUGAGACAGUUCGGUCCCUAUCUGCCGUGGGCGCUGGAGAAUUGAGGGGGGCUGCUCCUAGUACGAGAGGACCGGAGUGGACGCAUCACUGGUGUUCGGGUUGUCAUGCCAAUGGCAUUGCCCGGUAGCUAAAUGCGGAAGAGAUAAGUGCUGAAAGCAUCUAAGCACGAAACUUGCCCCGAGAUGAGUUCU
rnacentral:rRNA from 1 species